AUCUAACUGACGAGUCUCAAAUAGCCCGAAACGCACGUCCUGGAU
rfam:Schistosoma rodhaini strain Burundi genome assembly, scaffold: SROB_scaffold0015018